rnacentral:rRNA from 1 species
AACGAACGCUGGCGGCGCGCUUAACACAUGCAAGUCGAACGAGAAGCUGUAGCAAUACAGUUGUACAGUGGCGAACGGGUGAGGAAUACAUGGGUAACCUACCCUCGAGUGGGGAAGUAACCAGCCGAAAGGCUGGCUAAUACCGCGUACGCUUCCCAAUCUGCGGGUUGGGAAGGAAAGCUCUACCGUGGGUAGAGCGCUCAAGGACGGGCUCAUGUCCUAUCAGCUUGUUGGAGGGUAACGGCCUACCAAGGCAACGACGGGUAGCUGGUCUGAGAGGACGAUCAGCCACACUGGCACUGCGACACGGGCCAGACUCCUACGGGAGGCAGCAGUGAGGAAUAUUGCGCAAUGGGCGACAGCCUGACGCAGCGACGCCGCGUGGGGGAGUGAA